CUUCAUUCAUUAAUUAAAAACCCUUCCAUUUUCACUCUGCACUUAUGUAUGUGUUUCAGUUUCUCCAUCCUGGGCAUUUCUGGUGUAAGACAAUAUUUUACUUAACAUCCAGGCUUGGCAAAACAGGUGAUACUACUUCUGACUCGAAAUUGAAAGGCUAAUGGCAGAACCAUGACGAAUUAAAUAGCAUAUUUACUGCUUUGUGAUGCCCAUAGCAUAGCUCAUUAGAAACCAACCUUGGUUUACACAGCAUUGGCAUUUAAUAAGAAUAUUUGGGCGCA
rnacentral:lncRNA from 1 species